rnacentral:rRNA from 1 species
GUAGUCAUAUGCUUGUCUCAAAGAUUAAGCCAUGCAUGUCUAAGUAUAAGCAAUUAUACAGCGAAACUGCGAAUGGCUCAUUAUAUAAGUUAUCGUUUAUUUGAUAGUACCUUACUACUUGGAUAACCGUGGUAAUUCUAGAGCUAAUACAUGCUAAAAAUCCCGACUUCGGAAGGGAUGUAUUUAUUAGAUUAAAAACCAAUGCCCUCUGGGCUCCUUGGUGAUUCAUAAUAACUUUUCGAAUCGCACGGCCUUGCGCCGGCGAUGGUUCAUUCAAAUUUCUUCCCUAUCAACUUUCGAUGUUUGGGUCUUGGCCAAACAUGGUCGCAACGGGUAACGGAGGGUUAGGGCUCGACCCCGGAGAAGGAGCCUGAGAAACGGCUACUACAUCCAAGGAAGGCAGCAGGCGCGCAAAUUACCCAAUCCCGAUUCGGGGAGGUAGUGACAAUAAAUACUGAUACAGGGCUCUUUUGGGUCUUGUAAUUGGAAUGAGUACAAUUUAAAUCUCUUAACGAGGAACAAUUGGAGGGCAAGUCUGGUGCCAGCAGCCGCGGUAAUUCCAGCUCCAAUAGCGUAUAUUAAAGUUGUUGUGGUUAAAAAGCUCGUAGUUGAACCUUGGGCCUGGCUGGCCGGUCCGCCUCACCGCGUGCACUGGUCCGGCCGGGCCUUUCCCUCUGUGGAACCCCAUGCUCUUCACUGAGUGUGGCGGUGAAACAGGACUUUUACUUUGAAAAAAUUAGAGUGCUCCAGGCAGGCCUAUGCUCGAAUACAUUAGCAUGGAAUAAUAAAAUAGGACGCGUGGUUCUAUUUUGUUGGUUUCUAGGACCGCCGUAAUGAUUAAUAGGGACAGUCGGGGGCAUCAGUAUUCAAUUGUCAGAGGUGAAAUUCUUGGAUUUAUUGAAGACUAACUACUGCGAAAGCAUUUGCCAAGGAUGUUUUCAUUAAUCAGGAACGAAAGUUAGGGGAUCGAAGACGAUCAGAUACCGUCGUAGUCUUAACCAUAAACUAUGCCGACUAGGGAUCGGACGAUGUUAUUUUUUGACGCGUUCGGCACCUUACGAGAAAUCAAAGUGCUUGGGCUCCAGGGGGAGUAUGGUCGCAAGGCUGAAACUUAAAGAAAUUGACGGAAGGGCACCACCAGGGGUAAACCGCUUCGCGCAGCCGCAGUAGCUCUGCCCCAGAAAGCAGCCCAAAAGGGUCAGUGGUGUUCCUGCCAGCGCUCCGGCGCGGCGAACUAAUUGCUAGUCUCCUCUGGAGGCGACACCCUCAAAUUGCGGGAAAAUCCUAAAGCCAGUGUCACCAAGCCGGCGCCGAAAGGGCGUCGGUGGCCGGGGUAGCGACCUAGGGUACGGUAAAAGCACACUGGAUAAUGCAAUGGACGAUCCGCAGCCAAGCCUCGUCGCCGCAGGGCACGGGGAAGGUUCAGAGACUACAUGGGGGUGGGUAGUGCACUGUCUGGGGGCUCCGGCCCCCGAGCGCCCGCUCACAACACUGCUUAAGAUAUAGUCCGGCCGUGCUGGAAACAGCACGGGCUGGCAAACCCAGAAACGGGAGCCUGCGGCUUAAUUUGACUCAACACGGGGAAACUCACCAGGUCCAGACACAAUGAGGAUUGACAGAUUGAGAGCUCUUUCUUGAUUUUGUGGGUGGUGGUGCAUGGCCGUUCUUAGUUGGUGGAGUGAUUUGUCUGCUUAAUUGCGAUAACGAACGAGACCUUAACCUGCUAAAU